AGAGGGUGCGAGCGUUAAUCGGAAUGACUGGGGCGUAAAGGGGCACGUAGGCGGUUUAUUCAGUCAGCUGUGAAAGUCCUGGGGCUUAACCUGGGGGGAUUGCAUAUGAUACGGAUAGACUAGAGUGGAGUAGAGGGCAGUGGAAUUUCCGGUGUAGCGGUGAAAUGCGUAGAGAUCGGAAAGAACAUCGGUGGCGAAGGCGGCUGCCUGGACUCACACUGACGCUGAGGUGCGAAAGCGUGGGUAGCGAACAGGAUUAGAUACCCUGGUAGUCCACGCUGUAAACGAUGAGGACUAGCUGUUGGAUUGCGAGACGAUUCAGUGGCGCAGCAAACGCGUUAAGUUCUCCGCCUGGGGAGUACGGCCGCAAGGUUA
rnacentral:rRNA from 1 species